AGAGUUUGAUCAUGGCUCAGAUUGAACGCUGGCGGCAGGCCUAACACAUGCAAGUCGAACGGUAACAGGAAACAGCUUGCUGUUUCGCUGACGAGUGGCGGACGGGUGAGUAAUAUCUGGGAAACUGCCUGAUGGAGGGGGAUAACUACUGGAAACGGUAGCUAAUACCGCAUAACGUCGCAAGACCAAAGAGGGGGACCUUCGGGCCUCUUGCCAUCGGAUGUGCCCAGAUGGGAUUAGCUAGUAGGUGGGGUAACGGCUCACCUAGGCGACGAUCCCUAGCUGGUCUGAGAGGAUGACCAGCCACACUGGAACUGAGACACGGUCCAGACUCCUACGGGAGGCAGCAGUGGGGAAUAUUGCACAAUGGGCGCAAGCCUGAUGCAGCCAUGCCGCGUGUAUGAAGAAGGCCUUCGGGUUGUAAAGUACUUUCAGCGGGGAGGAAGGGAGUAAAGUUAAUACCUUUGCUCAUUGACGUUACCCGCAGAAGAAGCACCGGCUAACUCCGUGCCAGCAGCCGCGGUAAUACGGAGGGUGCAAGCGUUAAUCGGAAUUACUGGGCGUAAAGCGCACGCAGGCGGUUUGUUAAGUCAGAUGUGAAAUCCCCGGGCUCAACCUGGGAACUGCAUCUGAUACUGGCAAGCUUGAGUCUCGUAGAGGGGGGUAGAAUUCCAGGUGUAGCGGUGAAAUGCGUAGAGAUCUGGAGGAAUACCGGUGGCGAAGGCGGCCCCCUGGACGAAGACUGACGCUCAGGUGCGAAAGCGUGGGGAGCAAACAGGAUUAGAUACCCUGGUAGUCCACGCCGUAAACGAUGUCGACUUGGAGGUUGUGCCCUUGAGGCGUGGCUUCCGGAGCUAACGCGUUAAGUCGACCGCCUGGGGAGUACGGCCGCAAGGUUAAAACUCAAAUGAAUUGACGGGGGCCCGCACAAGCGGUGGAGCAUGUGGUUUAAUUCGAUGCAACGCGAAGAACCUUACCUGGUCUUGACAUCCACGGAAGUUUUCAGAGAUGAGAAUGUGCCUUCGGGAACCGUGAGACAGGUGCUGCAUGGCUGUCGUCAGCUCGUGUUGUGAAAUGUUGGGUUAAGUCCCGCAACGAGCGCAACCCUUAUCCUUUGUUGCCAG
rnacentral:rRNA from 2 species